rnacentral:rRNA from 1 species
CCUACGGGAGGCAGCAGUGGGGAAUAUUGCGCAAUGGGCGAAAGCCUGACGCAGCGACGCCGCGUGAGGGAUGAAGGUCUUCGGAUCGUAAACCUCUGUCAGCAGGGAAGAACGGUCACUGUGCUAAUCAGCAGUGAAUUGACGGUACCUGCAAAGGAAGCACCGGCUAACUCCGUGCCAGCAGCCGCGGUAAUACGGAGGGUGCGAGCGUUAAUCGGAAUUACUGGGCGUAAAGCGCUCGUAGGCGGUAUGUCAAGUCAAGGGGGAAAUCCCCGCGCUCAACGUGGGAACUGCCUUGGAAACUGGCAAACUGGAGUGUGUGAGAGGAUAGUGGAAUUCCAGGUGUAGGAGUGAAAUCCGUAGAUAUCUGGAGGAACAUCAGUGGCGAAGGCGACUAUCUGGCACAUAACUGACGCUGAGGAGCGAAAGCGUGGGUAGCAAACAGGAUUAGAUACCCCAGUAGUC